CAAACGCGCAAACGAAUUCCAAGAAUUUGAUUUUUUCACUUUUCAGAAAUCAAAUCCAAGCAAGCGGUGUCGAACACAUGUUCCAGAAGCGAUGGUGGUUUGCAGAAUGCGGUUGACGAGAACACUACUUCAGCGAAUGAAAUCAAAAGAAAGUAGUUGCGGUGCCGAACAAAUCUUCCAGAAGGGGUAGUGGUUUGACGAACCAACUCAUAAUCUUCUACAGAAAAUCCGAACUUAGUAGCGGAAGAAGAACGACAACCACUUGAGGAGCGGAAGAAAAGAAGAGAAAGAGGCUGCAAUAUUUUUUCAGGUGAGGUUUUUUUGUGUUGUUCGUGCGUGUGCGGAGCGAAAGAAAAGAAGAGCACAACCUCGGUGGUUCGUUUUUCAGGUGAGGUAACCACUUGAGGAGCGGAAGAAAAGAAGAGAAGGGGCCUGCGGUAUUUUUUUAGGUGGGGUUUUGUUAUGUUGUUCGUGCACGUGCGGAGGAAAGAAAAGAAGAGCACAACCUUGACGGUUCGUUUUUCAGGUUGUUGAGUCAAAAUGGCUCGAAAGGAGAAAAAACUGGACACCUUGGAAGAAGAAAUGGGAAUGGAAGGUUCAGUUGAUUAAUUUUGUGGACACAAAGCACAUCGUGGAGAUGAACAACCUGUUGACGGAUGGAUAUCGGGGGAUGUAUAGGACUCACACUUUUUUGUGGGGAAAUAAUCACUAUUAAAGGUAUAACAAACAUGAUUCUAAGUGUAAUAGGAUAUGUUAUGUUUAUUUAAUCUAUCUUAAGCAUUUCAGGAUUUUAUUUGAAUUCUUUAGUCAAAUAUUAUUAUAAAAUGAGUUUAAAAUGUCAAAUAAACUUAACAAAAUUUAAUUAAAAAGACUAAAUUCACAUAUUUCGAAAGAUAAAAGACUAAAUUGGUUCAAAGUUUCGAAAUAAACUAAUUUUAAAAUUCACUUAAAGUUAAGCCUAAGUUUUAACGGGUUGGAGGAAGGGAAGCUAAAGGAAGAAAUAUCCACCUAGAAAUUAACACCAGUCCAAUUAAAUGGAUUUAUAAUGGGGGAAUUUUUUCUUACAUUCCUGUAAACAAGGUAAAAAGUUAAAUUUGUCCUCUUCUUCUCUCUUCCCUCCCCCAUAGGACCUCCAUGCUUUUCUUCACCUUCAUCUAAUCUUCUUCUUCCACCUCCACCCUAUCUUUUAUUACCACCUCCAACUCCACCCAUUUUCUCCCACCUUCAUCUACAUUGGUGAGGCAAUUCCUUCUUAUACAUAUAUUUCUUCCUGCAUCCCAUCAAUUUUAAAAAUGACCAUUUAAUUCUUAUAAAAGUGACUUUCGGAUUAUGAAUUUGAAAGUAGUUUUUCAUAAUAAAAUUUUCGAAAUAAAAUUUUCGGAUAGAUAUUUUUCAGAAUAAAAUUUUCGAAACAAGAUUUUUAGAAUAACAUCUUUGGAACGUGUGAAAUAUAUUUCGGAACUCAUUUUUCAAAAAAUAUAAUUUGCAUAUAAUAAUUUUUGAAAUAAAUUUUCCAAAACACUCCUACAUGAAAUGGAAAUGGGUUCCGAAAAUUUCAGAAAUAUAUGAGGUGAAGGAAACAAUGAUCUUGAAUUUUUCUAUCAACCUUAGGAUAGUUUAGCCUAUUCUCUGGUGGAAUGGUAUAGUCUCAAUCACACAUUCCUCAUUUCUUACGAACUUAACAACAAAGUUAAAUGCCAAUGAAUUUAGUUCUUGCACCUUGAUAACCCAAAAAAAAGGUUAUUAUUCUUGGUAGAUUUUGAGGGAUUUGUUGAU